ACAAGCAGUGGUGCAGCUGGUGGUGUGCCUGCGAAGUAGCGGAUUACCACUACGUUUUAUUGGCCAUUAGGAUCUAUUUAGAUGUUUUUUUUAAACAGACCAGCUUGAUUUCUUACAUCCUUUUCAUCAUUCCACUCAAAUAUUUUAUAAAUGUUUCCAGUUAUAAGUCAACGUUUGAGAUUGGAUGAAAGGAAUAGCAUGUGAUUGGAUGAAAGGGGAAUUGUGGUGCUGCGAUCUUGGUAAGAUCCAAACGUGAUGAACAAAACGGAGCGAUUUCUCCUACACAAAUAAUCUUUUUGGAAAAACUGAACAUUUGCUAUCUAACUGAGAGUCUCCUCAUUGAAAACAUCCGAAGUUCUUCAAAGGGCUCUUCGAGCUCCAGCAUGGCCAGCAUCAACAGAACCAUGGAUGGGUUAUAAGAGAGCUACAGAGAGAUGUGGAACAAGUCAGAUCAGCUCCACAUUCAAGGCCUGUCCAUCAGCAUGGGGAUGACGGAGCGUCGAGCUCUGGCCCGUCGACUGUUUGUGUUAGUGUAAAGGAUAACGUGUUGAAGAUAACGAGGAGAGCACACCCAGCCUUGUCGGAGAGGUAAUAACCCCCGUGUCCGUCCACGCUCACCACAGCUUGGUUAUGAUGUAAAACAACAUGCCCAAUGACUCUGGACCAACGACUUUCUAGUAUUUUCUUUGCCUAUCCCUCUCUGUUUGGACUGGAACAGAGGCUAGUUAUUUUAAUGUUGUAAUUCAGUUGCGUAACAUAAAUAUGAAGGCAUGCUCAUUCAAUUGAGCUCAGAUGAGGAUGAUGGGAAAAAAUAUUUACCCCCAAUGCAUGUGCUGUUUGUGUUUAACACACUAGACUCGAGGGGCUUUUGGAGGGAAAGUCUCAUGACUUGUGUCAUGAGUUCUUAUUUGUUCUUGUUUCUCAAAGAAGCCUACUACUAGCUUACUUCCAAUACGUGUCAUGCAUACUUGCCUACUUUUUAUUAUUAUUCCAAAGUCAAGACUGAAAUCAAGUGUUAACUUGAGCAACAUAUCAAUGGGUUCUAGGGAUCUGAAAAACACAACACAAGCAAACUCUCACAAAGUCUUUCUCUUCCGGGAAAACAGUAAUCUGUCAAAUAAUCUCUGUGAAACAAACCUACCAGAAAGACCUUCUCCCUGAGAGAGCCCUGUAUGUCCUCUCGCACCUAUCAAGAGUAAUCUAACCCUCCCUAGUAACCUCUAACCACAAUUAGUCACAGUCCGGUCAUAUUGGUCCCUCUGGUCAUUUGUUUAUAUUUGAUACAAUCUCAGGUUCUUGCCAGGGACAUGUCCUCCCUUCCAUAACAGCCAAGAUGGAUAUUUUGGGAACAGUCUGUCUGGUCAGACUGACCCCUCAGUACACCCAGGAUCUGACACUACUAGACUGAGGAUGGAGGCAGGGGCCUGCGGGAAAAAACAUUUGGGGUCAGGGGAUGAGAGGAGAGGAGAGACAGAGAGAGAGAGGGAGAUGGGGAGAGAGAGAGAGGGAGAUGGGGGGGAGAGAAAGAGUGAGAGAGAGAGAAUAAAUAAUGACAUUGGCUUUGGCAAAAAGCUUUGGCAGUCUUUCCAGGGCUUUGUUGUUGCUAAGACACAGGUCAUUUACCAAUCAAACUUGGAGCAGCCUUAAUGUGCAAGGCACCCCUGUGCCCCCACUCAUAAUGAGACGACUGUUUUGUGUGUGUGUGCGUUUUUUUGGUGCAUGCACACACACGUGGAACCGUGUGUGUGUGUGAGAGACGUGUAAUGCUGCUGGCCAGGCUGGUGCCCUUAGAAACCCCAUAGGGUGUAAUACAGUUGACCUUUUGUGCAAAGGGAGGCUCUAUGAUAUUUCCAGUAAGAGCACAUCGGUGGAGUGAUCACAGCAUGCAAAGAGCCAUAAUUAGGAUAGGCUAGAUGGUCAUACUUCCAGUAACAGUCAAUGGGUAUUAUUCAUUGAAAUUAUGCCAUUUGAAACCAACUGCAGGUGGUAAUAAAGCGCCAGGGGAAGCACUAUGGUCAGGUUAUCAUUCCCAGUAACAGCACGUAACUGGAGCUGGCACAGCCUGCAGAGAGACACUGUAGAUAGAGUCCACAGUUGUACUGUAAGUCAUAGUCGUCAAAUAUUAGUACGUGAAAUGUUGCCCUUUGUAACACACUGCAGGUGACCUCACUGCCAGGGGGGAGACACUAUGACGGAUAAAUAAUUUCCAGAAAGAGAACAUCAGUGGAGCUGGUAUGGCAUGAUGGUAGGGUCCUCCUGCAGCUGCCCAAUGUUUCUCUCAAAGGCCCUUUGGUUAUUUGAGCCUGUAGGAGAUAUAUAAAUGUGUGUCACUCAGGGAUGGUGCUGCCUCUUAUUGUAACGGGCUGAAAUUUCCCUCUGUUACAAUGAUCUAAGUGUGGUCAAUUCCCAAAGGGCCAUCAUAGUACCCUGAGAGUUUUUGAAGGAAUAGAUCUCAGUAAUUUAUCAAUUGAUGUCUCCGCUUCUCAGACAAAAGAUGGAGAGAACAGAUGGGAAGUGAGGAGAAGAAGAGGGGGGAGAGAAGUAUAACUGAUUAGUUCUAGAGGCCUCUUUCAUUUGUUUGAUAGCUCGUUGUGACGUGCUACGUGACAUGGAAAUGAACAUCGCUCCGGUUUAACAGAACAUAAAUACAAUUUUGAUCUGUUCAUUGAUAGUAAAAUCUUCACCCAGUUUCACUGCAUCCUUCAAAAGUCAGUUUUUUUUAUGGAUAGGGCCUUGAUUUCGGUGACAGUUAUUGCUUUUGCGGAGCUUCCAAAGGUCACAUGUCAGCGUCACAAAUGGCACCCUAUUCCCUAUAUAGUGCACUACUUUGUAUUUUUAAAGGGCCAGGCUAAAAAAGACAGACAGACAGUUGUAGGUACAUCAAUUAGGAGGAAUGGUACCAGACUCAAUCCAUCCAUCCCUCACCCUUGCGGGUCUAUGUAUUUUGUAUUUUUAUUCAUUAACGAUCCCCAUCCCCAGCUACUCGUCCUGGGGCCCUCAACAUUAAGGCAGUUAUAUACAAUUUAAAAUAUUAUAUGAUAUUACAUUUCAUAACACUAUAGCAGUUUCCCACAAUAAUUGGCUUUAGGUGAGGAAGAUAAACCUGUAGCCAUAUUACCUCAACAGUAUUGUACAUUAGAUCCUCUCUAAGAGUUACAGGAAUGUGGUUCUGAAUAUAAACAGCAACACCUCCACCAUUGGCAUUUCUGUCUUUUCUGUAGAUGUUAUAACCAUGAUUGCUACCAUUGUAUUAUCAAAUGUAUUAUCUAAGUGAGUUUCAGAGAGUCAGAAUAUCAAAUCAAAUCAAAUGUAUU